CUGAGAGAGGGGGAGAGUGGGAUUGAGAAAGCGAGAGAGGGAAGUUUGAGGGGCCAGGCAGAAUAACUGUGGCUGGUGGGGGCAUCAUCUUGUGGGCUUCUGUGUGACCGGCUCCCUGCGGGGGCCGAUAGCUCUGGAGCUGCACCCAGUGUCAGAAAAGAAGAGAGGAGGUAGAGGUAGAGCAGUUAGAGGAGAGGAGUUAGAGGAGAUAGAGGAGAGAAGUUAGAGUAGAGGAGUUAGAGUAGAGGAGUUAGAUUAGAGGAGAGGAGUUAGAAGUGUUAGAGGAGAGGAGUUAGAGGAGUUAGAGGAGAGGAGUUAGAGGAGUUAGAGGAGAGGAGUUAGAGGAGAGGAGUUAGAUGAGAGUUAGAGGAGUUAGAGGAGAGGAGUUAGAUGAGUUAGAGGAGAGGAGUUAGAGGAGAAGAGUUAGAGGAGAGGAGUUAGAGGAGAGGAGUUAGAUGAGUUAGAGGAGAGGAGUUAGAUUAGAGGAGUUAGAGGAGAGGAGUUAGAGGAGUUAGAGGAGUUAGAGGAGAGGAGUUAGAUGAGUUAGAGGAGAGGAGUUAGAGGAGAAGAGUUAGAGGAGAGGAGUUAGAGGAGAGGAGUUAGAUGAGUUAGAGGAGAGGAGUUAGAGGAGAAGAGUUAGAGGAGAAGAGUUAGAGGAGAGGAGUUAGAGGAGAGGAGUUAGAGGAGAAGAGUUAGAGGAGUUAGAGGAGAGGAAGGAGAAGAGUUAGAGGAGUUAGAGGAGAGGAGUUAGAGGAGAGGAGUUAGAUGAGUUAGAGGAGAAGAGUUAGAGGAGUUAGAGGAGAGGAGUUAGAGGAGUUAGAGGAGAGGAGUUAGAGGAGAAGAAGGAGAAGAGUUAGAGGAGAGGAGUUAGAGGAGAGGAGUUAGAGGAGAGGAGUUAGAGGAGAAGAGUUAGAGGAGAAGAGUUAGAGGAGAGGAGUUAGAGGAGAGGAGUUAGAGGAGAGGAGUUAGAGGAGUUAG
rnacentral:lncRNA from 1 species